rnacentral:rRNA from 1 species
GACGAACGCUGGCGGCGUGCCUAAUACAUGCAAGUCGAGCGAGUCUGCCUUGAAGAUCGGAGUGCUUGCACUCUGUGAAACAAGAUACAGGCUAGCGGCGGACGGGUGAGUAACACGUGGGUAACCUGCCCAAGAGAUCGGGAUAACACCUGGAAACAGAUGCUAAUACCGGAUAACAACAGAUGAUGCCUAUCAACUGUUUAAAAAAUGGUUCUGCUAUCACUCUUGGAUGGACCUGCGGUGCAUUAGCUAGUUGGUAGGGUAACGGCCUACCAAGGCGAUGAUGCAUAGCCGAGUUGAGAGACUGAUCGGCCACAUUGGGACUGAGACACGGCCCAAACUCCUACGGGAGGCAGCAGUAGGGAAUCUUCCACAAUGGACGCAAGUCUGAUGGAGCAACGCCGCGUGAGUGAAGAAGGGUUUCGGCUCGUAAAGCUCUGUUGUUGGUGAAGAAGGACAGGGGUAGUAACUGACCUUUGUUUGACGGUAAUCAAUUAGAAAGUCACGGCUAACUACGUG